GUUAUUUUCCACCCAAGUUCAAAAAUUAUUAUGCAAAACGAAUUUUUAUAGCAAGUUACUAAGUAAGUUAUGACAUGGACUCCUUUAUGUACAGUUAUAAAAAAUAUACUGCUUUCUUUGGAAAUUUUAACUAGAUACUAUUAAAAUAGAAAGUCUACAGUUCACGUACAUACCCCUAAGUUGAAGAUUGGUUUUGAAAUAGUGACGGUAACUGUACCUAAAAACUAUAUAAAUUUUAACAUUGUGUCAUACCACCUUAAUACUAUUCUAUCUAAUUCCUCAAAACAAGCAAAUUUCAAUUAAACCCAGCUAUAUUAUAAUACCUUUUGCUUUAGUUUUCCUUGCAAGAAAUAAACAAAACACAUCUAAACUAAACCUAACCUCGCUUUUGGCCAAUCAUUCAUCUCCGGGGCGGGGCCCUGAUUCUAAAUCAAAUUUCGACCAAAAACAAGUCGCUUUCAAUAGGUCUGUUCCUUUGUUUUUUAGUGUUACACUUUUGAGUGUAAGUGUACGAAAUUCUAUGGACAUUUGAGUGUAAAAUGACAGCGGCUCAUGACAGCGGACAGUAUUAAACGAAAAUUAUCGGUGUGCCAAUCAAGCAAAGGGACAAGGAACUUCCGAAUAUGGCCUAACUGGGGGCACAUAACAUAACCUAAUCCUAAUAUUUACAUUUGUAAAGAAUAUCCUGUUUGUUUUUAUUGUCGAUUGUGCAGCGAAAUUGUGAUAGCAAAUCAAAUAUCGCCUAAAGUAGUUUAUCGCCUACAGAACUGAAUUAGUCCAUAGCAGUUAUCAGUUUUUCUUUCUUGGGAAGCUUAUACAUGUAACUUGUAUUGUUGUAAAUUGUGGGAGUAGGGCAGACAGGGAAAAGUCUUAUUUUAUACUGUUCCCAAGGCUCCCCAUGCAAUACAUUUAAAUGAAGUAUCCAAACAAAGCCGGGGACAAUGGAUAAAAGCCACAAGAAGAACAGAUAUAACGGAACUAAAAUUAAAAUGUGAAAAGUAAACAUUUUAUAAGUGGAACAACCACCAGAUAUUUAAAAGGUAUAAAAAGAAGAAACUGCUGGAAUUUCAAAACAAAUGUGUUUGACUAGUAAAGAUUUGGAUAAAUAACAGGAGUUACUUUGGGCUAUAGCUACAUGCAGAUUUAUUUCCUUGUGGCUUCCUAUGUUAAUUCUUAUUAAUUAUACACUUAAAUAUGUUUUUAGUCUCAGGAAGAUUUUAUAUUUGAUUAUUUUUGAAUAAACAUUAUUAUUAUUAUUACCUUAAUUUCCAUUAAAUAAAUUAACUGUAAUCAAUAAAGUAAUCGUUUAAUUGUUAAUAAAUUAUCAAGUAUGA